rnacentral:rRNA from 1 species
UAAACGACUCUCGGCAACGGAUAUCUCGGCUCUUGCAUCGAUGAAGAACGUNGCGAAAUGCGAUACUUGGUGUGAAUUGCAGAAUCCCGUGAACCAUCGAGUCUUUGAACGCAAGUUGCGCCGAAGCCAUUAGGCCGAACSGACGUCUGCCUGGGCGUCACGC